CCAGGACUGUAAAUCCAGUCCAGUAGAAGCGGUGCAGUCUUGAUCCUCCACAUGCUCCCGGCCCUCGUUCUCCUUUCUUUCAGGUUCACAAAAGCCCUCAGGGUCCUAGCUGACUGGGACACCUGGAAAGGACACCCCCUGCCCCGUCCCGUUGGGCUGCCUGCAGGCUGUGCAGUACACUGGGAACUCCAGGUUCCCAGCUUUGUGAGCUGUCACACAUGCUAGGGCGGGCCGUAGUGAUGUACUGACUUUGAGUUCUGCUGCUAUCAGUAACCCUCAUCCAGAUUUCUGUACGUGACUCCAGUAAGGCCAUGUUGGAUUCUGAUAGUACCCAUCCUCUGUUCUGUUCUCCGUUCCCUCUCUGAGGUUGUUCUACAGUGCCUUGCUUCUGAUUGUGCUGUCAACCUUCUCAGUCCCUGGGUUGGACCUAGGACAACAGGCCAGCCUUUGGUUAGCAUCAGCAGCUGAGUGGAGACUCGUCUCCAAGCAUCAAGGAUGUGAAAAUGUGAUCUUGUUGGGGAUAGUGGGAGCUUGGGGGAUGGGUUCCUUUGUACUUCUCUCAAGGUCUCCUGGUCCCUCCCUGUGUGUUUGUGGGCGCCACAGACAGCCUCACAAUCAGGAUGAGUGGUAACGGGACAGUCAAACACAAUGAAGGGAAUCAUUGUCUCACGAGAGUCAGAACAUCUGUUCCUCCCACCGCACCUGGGCGAAGGCCAAAUAAUCAAAAGAAGGAAACAGGAUCUGCCAACAACGCACUUUACCUUGAGUCUUUGUGUAGAGAAUACCUUCUCCAAGUAGGCGCCUUUCAUUGGCUCAGAUUUUCCC
rnacentral:lncRNA from 1 species